UUGAAAUCAAAGGCAGUUCCGUCAGCGCAGCAAAUCACCCAAAUGGUCACACCUGUAGGAUUUCCAGUAUGAAACUUAAAAGGAAAUUCUUUCUGGUGUCACUUGCAGUCACAGUGACAUGUUUUAUGGGAUAUUUCUACUGGACGGGCACGAUUCGAAUAUGCCAACAGAAUUUAAGGUGCAAUGAAAUACGAAAAAAGAUGUCCUUUGGUGCCAAGGAUGUCACCGUUCAUAGUCCAGACAGUAUAUUGGAGGUCAACAGGACCCAGAGGAGCCCUCAGAUGGCAACAACAAAAAAUGUCAACAGGACCAGAAAACCAUUAAUGCCUGAAGACUUUAAAUUU